rnacentral:lncRNA from 1 species
GAACUAUUAUGGAAGCCAAAACUCGUUUGAAAGUGCUCCCCACAAGGGUGACAGGGCAGGAAUCCCACCCAGGAAAGGUCAACCUAACCAGGUCCCAGGAGAGCCUGCUCCUUGAAACCUGAACCAUCCCAAGCGCUAUCACUUCAAGGCCCAGAGACCUAAGAGGAUUAAGGUUCAGAUGGCCAUGCCGGAGGCAUUCCAUACACUUUGCAGGAGGACCCAGAAGAAUCAAGUUCCAGAGUGGUCACCUCGAUCAUGCAUCUUAUUAUUGCUUUUCUUCCUCUCCCGGUUUGCUUUCCUGGCUCUCUCCCUCCUACACCCUGAACCCACUACCCUAAUAAACUAUCUACA